GGAGGAGAGUGGCGAACGGGUGAGUAACACGUGGAUAAUCUGCCUUCAGGAUGGGGAUAACUAUUCGAAAGGGUAGCUAAUACCGAAUAAGAUAGCAGCUGUGCAGGCAGCAGCUAUUAAAGGAGGGGACCUUCGGGCCUUCCGCCUGAAGAUGAGUCCGCGUCCCAUUAGCUAGUUGGCAGGGUAAUGGCCUACCAAGGCUGUGAUGGGUAGCCGGCCUGAGAGGGUGAUCGGCCACAUUGGGACUGAGAUACGGCCCAAACUCCUACGGGAGGCAGCAGUUAAGAAUCUUGCGCAAUGGGCGAAAGCCUGACGCAGCGACGCCGCGUGGACGAUGAAGGCCUUAGGGUUGUAAAGUCCAUUAAGCAGGGAAGAAUUAACCUGUUAUAACAUGGCCUGUGAUGACGGUACCUGCUGAAAGCCUCGGCUAAAUACGUGCCAGCAGCCGCGGUAACACGUAUGAGGUGAGCGUUGUUCGGAAUUAUUGGGCGUAAAGGGCGUGUAGGCGGGGAACUAAGUCAGAUGUGAAAGCCAUGGGCUCCAACCGGUGAAUUGCAUCUAAUUACUGGUUCUCUUUGAGUUCGGGAAAGGUGAGCGGAAUUCCCGGUGUAGGGUGAAUGGGUUAAUAUCGGGAAGAACACCAGUGGGGAAUGCGGCUCACUGGCCUAGAACUGACGCUAAGGCGCGAAAG
rnacentral:rRNA from 1 species